ACUCGUCCUACAGAGCAGCCCAGUGUUGUGCCUUUGUCCAUGACGUCUGUGAUGAGGGCUUACCCUACCCUUUUCCAGAUGGGAUCCUGGAUGUCAUUCUCCUUGUCUUUGUGCUCUCUUCCAUUCAUCCUGACAGGAUGCAAGGCGUUGUAAACCGACUGUCCAACUUACUGAAACCUGGAGGAAUGCUGUUAUUUCGGGACUAUGGAAGAUAUGAUAAGACUCAGCUUCGUUUUAAAAGGGGGCAUUGCUUAUCUGAAAAUUUUUAUGUUCGAGGAGAUGGUACCAGAGCAUAUUUCUUUACAAAAGGUAUGCUUAUCUCUAAGGGAAAAUAAUUAGCUGUAAAAACUCUCUUUGGGGGGUGCCUGGGUGGCUCAGUCGUUAAGCG